rnacentral:lncRNA from 1 species
AGGUGGGUGGGGCCGAGUGAAAGAAUGCGAUUAAGUGGUAUGGUAAGGAAAGUCAGCCCAAUAGUAAGUAGAGCAAGAGUUCAAGUCAAGAUAGUAAGGCUGGGAAUGCGGAGCGUCAGAGUAGUUUUCAAAAGUGCAGCUCGCUACUUGAUGUUGAUUCUUACAGGCACACUGGGUUCAUUCUCUUAUUUCUCUGAGUCGAUUCCUUCUACUGAUCUUAACACGGUCUCGUAGCUGGUCUUAUAGGUUUUGCAGUGGAGACCAGUAUUCUGUAUUUCUAGUUUCAUUCCUUAAUCAAGGAGUAGCGUAGAAGAAGUCGAGUCUAGUAAUAAGGGGAGUCAGGGCAAUCCAAGUUCUUAGUUUCAGUAUGGUGCGGGUUGGUUCAAUUGUAAUAUGGGCGUAGUCAUAUUACCAGUUAGUAGAUUAUGUUACCGAUCAGUUCAAUUAGAAUUAGUUAUAGUAUAGGUUCGAGACUGACAAGCAAGAAAGCAAGUCACCCCCGACGUGGUAAUGAUAGAAUCAAAUAUAGGAGUUUUUCGCUCGCUACCGCGCAACUGACGUAGUUGCUUGGUGACUCAAACCAAGGUUGAAAGCAUAGGUACAGACUGCAAGAAAAGCAAGGCCAAGGGCACUAAGUGGAAGAAUCUGGGUAGUAAGUGGAAGAGUCAGAGCUGAGGUCGGGAAUGCCAGGGCGAGAGACACAUAAGUGAAGUAAAGGUUUGAGAUCAGUAAAGUAAGACCAAAUAGCAGGCUAAGAUACAACAAGGAAAGGUUUGAUACCAGGUAGGGCAGUCUCAUCAGCUGUAGUUUGGUCCUUAUUGUUAGUAAGAGGAUAUUCCAUUCUUAUUGGCAAGGUCGUAAAGAUGCGUAUGAUCGACUUCAAAAGGGGAGAAUUUGCUAGGUAUGCGAGAUAUUGGCAAGAGGAGAUAGGCUUAGGGACAUGUUAGUAAGAAUUAGAUGGAGUAGUUAAAGCGUAUAGUAAGAGGUUCAUUCUGAUAAUGCUAACAACAUAUUAUUAUCUAUAAUACCUAAGCACCUGGGACUGCAGCCUAUGAGCAGCCCGCCCUCGGUUCAGUAUUGCCAGUAUAGUACCAAUUUGGAUACGGUGGG